UACGGGGGGGCAAGCGUUGUUCGGAAUUACUGGGCGUAAAGGGCUCGUAGGCGGCCAACUAAGUCAGACGUGAAAUCCCUCGGCUUAACCGGGGAACUGCGUCUGAUACUGGAUGGCUUGAGUUUGGGAGAGGGAUGCGGAAUUCCAGGUGUAGCGGUGAAAUGCGUAGAUAUCUGGAGGAACACCGGUGGCGAAGGCGGCAUCCUGGACCAACACUGACGCUGAGUGAGCGAAAGCCAGGGGGAGCAAACGGG
rnacentral:rRNA from 1 species